CGUAUGGUUCUAUUUUGUUGGUUUCUAGGACCAUCGUAAUGAUUAAUAGGGACGGUCGGGGGCAUCAGUAUUCAAAUGUCAGAGGUGAAAUUCUUGGAUUUUUUGAAGACUAACUACUGCGAAAGCAUUUGCCAAGGACGUUUUCAUUAAUCAAGAACGAAAGUUAGGGGAUCGAAGAUGAUCAGAUACCGUCGUAGUCUUAACCAUAAACUAUGCCGACUGGGGAUCGGGUGGUGUUUUUUUAAUGACCCACUCGGCACCUUACGAGAAAUCAAAGUUUUUGGGUUCUGGGGGGAGUAUGGUUGCAAGGCUGAAACUUAAAGGAAUUGACGGAAGGGCACCACCAGGAGUGGAGCCUGCGGCUUAAUUUGACUCAACACGGGGAAACUCACCAGGUCCAGACGUAAUAAGGAUUGACAAGUUAGAGACUUCUCUUGAUCUUACGGGUGGUGGUGCAUGGCCGUUUUUAGUCCUUGGAGUGAUUUGUCUGCUUAAUUGCGAUAACGGACGAGACCUUAACCUGCUAAAUAGUGGUGCUAGCAUUUGCUGGUUGUCCACUUCUUAGAGGGACUAUCGGUUUCAAGCCGAUGGAAGUUUGAGGCAAUAACAGGUCUGUGAUGCCCUUAGACGUUCUGGGCCGCACGCGCGCUACACUGACGGAGCCAGCGAGUCUAACCUUGGCCGAGAGGUCUUGGUAAUCUUGUGAAACUCCGUCGUGC
rnacentral:rRNA from 1 species